rnacentral:rRNA from 1 species
GAUCCUGGCUCAGGAUGAACGCUAGCUACAGGCUUAACACAUGCAAGUCGAGGGGCAUCAGGGUGUAGCAAUACACCGCUGGCGACCGGCGCACGGGUGAGUAACGCGUAUCCAACCUGCCCACCACUUGGGGAUAACCUUGCGAAAGUAAGACUAAUACCCAAUGAUAUCUCUAGAAGACAUCUGAAAGAGAUUAAAGAUUCAUCGGUGAUGGAUGGGGAUGCGU